rnacentral:rRNA from 1 species
AACAACUCACCUGCCGAAUGAAUUAGCCCUGAAAAUGGAUGGCGCUGAAGCGGGCAGCCGACACCGCGCCGUUCCGGCGAGACGAUGCCGGAAUGAGUAGGAGGGCGUGGCGGUCAGUGAAGCAGGCGAGGGUGCAAACCCCGCUGAAACGGCCGCUAGUGAAGAUCUUGGUGGUAGUAGCAAAUAUUCAAGCGAGAUCCUUGAAGGGCGAAGCGGGGAAGGGUUCCACGCCAACAUUGAUUGGGCGUGGGUGAGUCGUCCCUAAGCCGAGUGGCAAUUGCUAAGUAGCGGCGAAAGGGAAGCGGGUUAAAAUUCCCGCACACAGAUAUGGAGGCGGCGACGCAAGCAGAGGCGAAUACGCUGGCGAGGGCGCCGGGCAGAGUUGUCUUUUCUGUUUGACCGGCAUCGAGCUGUGUGGAAUCCGCUUAUCGGGAGAAACACGCUCGGGUAGGGGCAGAGCGUCAGGUCUUUUCUGGCGUCCGGCUCGCCCUCGACGGCCCUUGAAAAUUCGUCUGCGACUGCAAAUUUCAUGCUGUGACGUACCGAUAACCGCAUCAGGUCCCCAAGGUGAACAGCCUCUGCUCAAUAUGAACAAU